UCUUUUGUUAGGAUGGUUUUCCCUGUGAG
rnacentral:piRNA from 1 species